UACGGAGGGUGCAAACGUUGCUCGGAAUCAUUGGGCGUAAAGCGCACGUAGGCGGCGACGUAAGUUGGGUGUGAAAUCCCUCGGCCCAACCGAGGAACUGCGCCCAGUACUGCGUUGCUUGAGGAUCCAAGGGGUGCAUGGAAUUCCCGGUGGAGCGGUGAAAUGCGUUGAUAUCGGGAGGAACUCCGGCGGCGAAAGCGGUGCACUGGUGGAUUUCUGACGCUGAGGUGCGAAAGCCAGGGGAGCAAACGGG
rnacentral:rRNA from 1 species